GUGUCAGCCGCCGCGGUAAUACGUAGGGUGCGAGCGUUAAUCGGAAUUACUGGGCGUAAAGCGUGCGCAGGCGGUUUUGUAAGUCAGAUGUGAAAUCCCCGGGCUCAACCUGGGAACUGCAUUUGAGACUGCAAGGCUAGAGUGUGGCAGAGGGGGGUAGAAUUCCACGUGUAGCAGUGAAAUGCGUAGAGAUGUGGAGGAAUACCGAUGGCGAAGGCAGCCCCCUGGGCCAAUACUGACGCUCAUGCACGAAAGCGUGGGGAGCAAACAGGAUUAGAUACCCCCGUAGUCC
rnacentral:rRNA from 1 species